ACAUGCCUACAACAUAACGUUAAUGCAUUGGAUCCCAUUAGAAUUUUGUAGUUAGGUGCACUUGGGUUAGAGUAGUACUGGAAUGGGUGACCGCUCGAGAAGUCCUAGUAUUUUACAUGCC
rfam:Picea glauca, whole genome shotgun sequence.